CUGCUGCCUUCCGUAGGAGUUUGGUCCGUGUCUCAGUACCAAUGUGGGGGGUUGACCUCUCAGUCCCCCUAUGUAUCGUCGCCUUGGUGAGCCGUUACCUCACCAACUAGCUAAUACAACGCAUGUCCAUCUCUAACCACCUGAGUUUUCAACCACCGAAGAUGCCUCCGGUGAUGUUAUGGGGUAUUAGUACCAAUUUCUCGAUGUUAUCCCCCUGUCAAAGGUAGGUUACAUACGCGUUACGCACCCGUCCGCCGGUCGCCGGCAUAAG
rnacentral:rRNA from 1 species